rnacentral:rRNA from 1 species
CCUACGGGAGGCAGCAGUAGGGAAUUUUCGGCAAUGGGGGGAACCCUGACCGAGCAACGCCGCGUGAACGAAGAAGUUAUUCGUAAUGUAAAGUUCUUUUAACAGGGAAGAAAGAGAAAUUUGACGGUACCUGCAGAAUAAGCUCCGGCUAACUACGUGCCAGCAGCCGCGGUAAUACGUAGGGAGCGAGCGUUAUCCGGAAUUAUUGGGCGUAAAGGGUGCGUAGAUGGCAUAGUAAGUCUUUUGUAAAAAUGCUGGGCUCAACCCAGUAGGGCAAAAGAUACUGCAAAGCUAGAGUAUGACAGAGGCAAGUGGAACUACAUGUGUAGCGGUAAAAUGCGUAAAUAUAUGUAAGAACACCAGUGGCGAAGGCGGCUUGCUGGGUCGAUACUGACGCUGAGGCACGAAAGCGUGGGUAUCGAACAGGAUUAGAUACCCCAGUAGUC